AUCUACGACUACGAAGAUUGUUUUCCAAGCUGAUGCAGCCGAACUUCAAGAAACCUCAUGCAGCUGUACAGCAGGCAAGGUUCUGUGCAACCAUCUAGUGGCCUUGUUGUUCCAGAGUGCCCAUUACAGCAUGUUGCAGGUGAGAGCUGUACCACCACCUGUGGCCUGCACAAGCUCUCUGCAAACAUGGCAUCGACCAAGGACAAAGGGGAUCCAUGCAGAGCCGGUUCAGGACUUGGUUGUUAGGAGACCAAAGCCAUCUGCCAGGAGUGUAUGCAAAUCAACACUCUAUCAAGCAUACACAGGAUCCCUCCCAGACCCGCAAGUCUUGUCUCUUGGGGAAGGACUGAAAA